AUACGGAGGGUGCAAGCGUUGUUCGGAAUCACUGGGCGUAAAGGGCGCGCAGGCGGUUUGAUUAGUCAGAUGUGAAAGCCCACGGCUUAACCGUGGAAGUGCAUUUGAAACUGUCAGACUUGAGUAUCAGAGGGGAAAGUGGAAUUCCCGGUGUAGAGGUGAAAUUCGUAGAUAUCGGGAGGAAUACCGGUGGCGAAGGCGACUUUCUGGCUGAAUACUGACGCUGCGGCGCGAAAGCGUGGGGAGCAAACAGGAUUAGAAACCCCAGUAGUCC
rnacentral:rRNA from 1 species